rnacentral:tRNA from 5 species
GCGGAAGUAGUUCAGUUGGUAGAACGUCGGCUUCCCAAGCCGAAAGUCGCGGGUUCGAGUCCCGUCUUCCGCUCCA